rnacentral:sRNA from 1 species
ACCAGAUAUGGUGGCACAUGCCUGUAAUCCCAGCGACUUGGAGGCUGAGACAGGAGGAUCACAAGUUUGAGGCCAGCCUCAGCAACUUAGCUAGGCCCUAAGCAAUUUAGUGAUAUUCUGCUUCAA